CCCCUAAGACCGCUGGAGCAGCUCUGCCACUUCCGCAACUUCAGGCCCCCUGCCCCUGCCAGUACAGCUCCUACAAACACCUUUGCUGCAUGAGGACCAGUUACCUGCAGAGUGACACUUACCAGGACAAAAAUAACAUGAGGAAAUGACUUCUUUCCUCUUGCCUUUUUACCUCCUGUCAGUACCUCCUACUGGAAGAUCCUAACGGAAACCCAACAGACAAAGACCUCGCUCACUGUUCAGACACUGACUAUUCAGAGAAAAUGAUGUGCCAGCUCCAAGCGUGUUGUCUCUUCUGGGACCGCCAUUUUUCUAUUCAGAGUUACAACUGGGUUCUACAGGAUUCGUUUUCCUGGAUCUUUCAGGUUUGAGGAGAAAAAAAAAACCUGUCAACUCUUCAUAUCUCCCUUCCUUCACAUUCAAAUUUAAUGAUACGGUGUUAGCAACUAUGUUUUUCAUGUUGGGUGUUGGAAUUUGAGCUACCCCUACGUGUUACUGAAGAUAUCAUUUUCUCCAUUUUUGUCCUAUUUGUUUUUCAGAAAAAUUUUGGUGAAUGUAAAGGAAAUUUUUCCUCUACCAUUGAUAAUUCUCUUCUGUAAUUCAGUACCAAGCAUGUUGUACAAUCACAGUGGAAGCCAUAUCUGCCUAUACGCCUUUCCUUGUUCUUUUCCCGCUACCCAUCCCUGAAAUAAAUCCACACCAAAAUAGACUGACUAAACAUGCAAAUGUCAUUCAACCAAAAGCCACA
rnacentral:lncRNA from 1 species